CGGUUCUCUAAUUUGACUCAGCUUCAGAUUGGAAUGUUUCUCUCCUCACUGGGAAAAGCUCCUUUGGUCUCAGUGAACUCAGAGGUGGAGAAAGUCAUAAGAAUCAGGGAGCCUGCCCCAAAUUGCCUCCUAUGAUAACUUUCCACAAAGACUGGAGGGGAGGCUUCAAACAUCUUCCUGCAGUGUCCAGCAAGACAGCGAGGCAGACUCCCUUUCUCCUGCCAAAGCCACGUGGAGCCAGACAGAACCACAAGCAUACCUGUGGUGCUUGGAGGCCCAAGUAGAAACUUGAAUGCUCACGGCUGCAUUGGCAGCUUCUACUUGCCUGCCUGGAUCACCGUUCCUCAUGAGAACUUGGAAAAGCAGGACUAUCAUUCUUGCUUGACAGACGAAGAAACCAAGCCUCAGAAAAAGCUGGCAAUGAGAAUAGAAGAAUUGCAAACAAUGUAGCAGGCCCUUGCCAAGAUUUAAAUACAGAAGAAACAUUCAAAAGGACGGUAUCAAAUUAUCUGCAAAGAUGAAGAAAGUAAUGACUUACGUUCUCCAUCCUCUGGCUGGGUGACUCACCAAAGUGGAAAAUGAAGCACUUGGAGAUUAAAGGUACCCCCAGAAAGAGGGGGAAAGGGAUGGGCUCUGGAGAAGCCAAUCCAGUUACAAGUUAACAUGCCACAGGAACAUCUGUGAUGGAAGGUGGCAGCUAAAUGCUUCGUGUCUCUUUGUGUUCUCCAG
rnacentral:lncRNA from 1 species